UCUUUAACAUACACCCAAAAGAUGCUCCAACAGAAAGACCCCCGGAGCGGGGAGACCCUCACUCAAGACUCGGGAUGAUGCAAGCCCCCAAGACCUCAGGAGAGAGU
rnacentral:pre_miRNA from 14 species